rnacentral:rRNA from 1 species
CGCUAUCACUCCUACGGGGAGGGCAGCAGUGAGGAAUAUUGGGACAAUGGAGGCAACUCUGAUCCAGCCAUGCCGCGUGUAGGAAGACGGCCCUAUGGGGUUGUAAACUACUUUGUACGGGAAGAAAUACAGUCACGUGUGAUUGUUUGACGGUACCGUAAGAAUAAGCACCGGCUAACUCCGUGCCAGCAGCCGCGGUAAUACGGGAGGGGUGCAAGCGUUAUCCGGAAUCAUUGGGUUUAAAGGGUCCGUAGGCGGGUAAUUAAGUCAGUGGUGAAAUGCAGGGGCUCAACUCCGGCACUGCCAUUGAUACUGGUUAUCUUGAAUUAUUGUGAAGUGGUUAGAAUAUGUAGUGUAGCGGUGAAAUGCUUAGAUAUUACAUAGAAUACCGAUUGCGAAGGCAGAUCACUAACAAUAUAUUGACGCUGAUGGACGAAAGCGUGGGGAGCGAACAGGAUUAGAUACCCUGGUAG